UGAAAUGUUAAAGAUAAUUGCAUAAGAACUAAAAUUUGAAUUUCAAAUGCUACAAUUUCAAUUGAUGCCCAAUGGUCCAAUACAAGUGAUCGGUUGAGUGAUAAUAUUAAAAAAUAAUCCAAAUUUCCUAGAUGUUCCUUUUCAAAAUUAAAGAAAAAAUUUAGUAAGGGUAGAUAGCAGAUGGCAAUAGCUUUUGCUCUGCUGUCUGCUUUACCGAUCACUGUAUCCCAUAACUAAACUAUCCCACAAACGAUCAUCUCUGAUUCCCUCUUUCCACGAUACACCAAAUCUAGCCUUAUGGAUUUCCGUUACUGUCCCCAUCAAUGCCUUUUUUUAUUGCCAAUGGUAGUUAUAAUUUAUGUACUAGGGAUUUGUUUUCCUACGCUUAUCUCGCUCCUGUAUAUAAAUACCUCCGUAUGACCGUAGCACUCCAUCACUCUCCUGGGCUUCUCUUUUGGCUUGGACCGCAUUGAGUCAGGACCACCAAAUUUAAUGUUUACAUUGGUGUGAGCUUUACCUACCCUAAGUCUAGCAUUUAACAGGGACUGCCUAGCUACUUCCACCUCAAACUUUUUUAUGAGGGGUGCUUUAAUCGGUGAUUUUUAGACUUUGGUUAAUUGAGGUUUUUUAUUGUUUUGAAUUUUUUUUUUUGGGUGGAGGGCCUUGGGAGGUUCGAAUGGAGCUCCCUUUGUCCAAAACGAUUCAUGGUUACCUCUGGGUUGCGCUGGUUAACAGUGAUGUAUGCGCAGCUCAAAGGUUUACAUGAUUCAGGAGACGUGUUGGGAGCAUCUAUCACGUUUAGCCGAUCAGCUUAUUGAAAUAAUGAAGAAUUUACAAGCAAAGAAGAAGAAUAAUAAGGCGACCAAUAAGGCCUUUUAGUUGAAG
rnacentral:lncRNA from 1 species